GACAGAGGGUGCAAACGUUGUUCGGAAUCACUGGGCGUAAAGGGCGUGUAGGCGGUCAGGUAAGUGGGAUGUGAAAUGCCCCGGCUCACCCGGGGACCGGCAUCCCAUACUGCUUGGCUUGAGUACGGGAGAGGAUGUGGGAAUUCCUGGUGUAGCGGUGAAAUGCGUAGAUAUCAGGAGGAACACCGGUGGCGAAGGCGCACAUCUGGCCCGAUACUGACGCUGAGGCGCGAAAGCUAGGGGAGCAAACGGG
rnacentral:rRNA from 1 species